ACACUCAUGAGAUACAAAAUAAAUUUGAUCAGGAAGGUGGUUUUCCCAGGGCGAGACUCACCCAUUGCACUCUAGAUGUGCUGACUCUGUGAUUUCUCCAAACUCGGGAAACUCGACUGUAUAAUUUGUGGUAAUGAAGGACUGCUUUUGUGAUUUUCCCUUAA
rnacentral:snRNA from 14 species